GUGUCUCUCCCACGACCCAACUCUAACCAUCUCUGACCAAUAACUAUCUAAAAGGGAUAAAACUCUCACGUAUAUCUCUCCGGAGAGCCAAAUCUCUCAAAUUGUUAUGGUAGAGGUUUAAAUCUAACCUAGCAGCCUCCGUUUCCUUCCAUGGUUUCUACUGUCCAAGACCUCCGAUCGAUGGCAGUUGAUCGUUCUUCCCUCCUCCGGCUAGAGCACGACCAAGGAACGACGCCUUCCAGUUUGAAGCCUACAUCGCUGGCUCUCCAUUUGAUCCACCCAUCACAAGGUAUUGCUUAUUUGUGUGAUUUGGAGCCAAGGAGACAACAAUCCAUGAUAGCUCAUGGCUUCAUAUGCAAUUUCGUUCAAAUCUUUAGUCCCUGGCGAGUUUGACCAAGAUCUGAUGGAUUAGUUACUCUCUCUCUUAUCACACGUGCUGAUUUCUCUAUGCUGAGUUUGACCAAGAUCUGAUGGAUUAGUUACUCUCUCUCUUAUCACACGUGCUGAUUUAUCUAUGCUGAUUUGUCACAUGCAUAUUUACUUGAACCAUUCUUACUAUUACAGUGGCACAACUAAUCACGUAUAGUUAUCUACCGAUGCAUAUUGGCUCAUCCGAAAGAAAAUUGUUCAUCCACCAUACUGGGUUUAUUGCGACUUUGCGAGUCCAAUACUGGCGGUGCCGAGUCCAAUACCGACUGCUCUGUUGCUUCUCAUCGCUGGCAUGUGUAUGGCGCCAUGCCAGUAUGCAACAACAAUCCUGGUGCCCGUAUGAAUAACUCUUGAUGUAGGUAUAUGUUGAAUCUCUAGUCUGCACACGAUCUUUCUUGAUUAGGCAUAGCAUGCGUGCAAUGGAGAAAUAUUAAUAUAAUGUAAUAAAAGAAACAUGUGUGUAUAUACUGUUUGCAUCCGAGUUGAAGUGUUUUGGUCAUGUUUUAUUUUGCACGGUGGUCAUCGACCGGUUAUAGGUUGCUCCAGGCCUCGAAGGCCCCGCGGUACUGCUCCUCCACAUGGAGAGCUGAUGGUGCUGCUGCUCCUCGGCACCUUUGAGCGGUCUGUUAAUAGGAGGCGUGAGGCGAGCUGCAAGACUUCACGGCACCUUUGAGUGGUCUGCUAAUAGAAGGCAUGAGGCGAGCUGCAAGAUUUCAGGCACAUAAACAGCGCAAUGGCAAGAGCUAUAUAAUAUCACAUUGAUAUUCUGGACCCCGCAGGAGAAUAUAUAUUUAAGUGGUGUACAUGUACUAUGUAUAACUAGAAGAAGAUUACUAUAUUUGUGACUACACUAGAAAUUUAUAGUUGUUGCAUCACGUGGUUAGUUUACAAUAUCACGGUGGUGGUCAUCGACCAGUUAUAGGGUGCUCCAGUGCUCGAAGGCCCGGCGGUACUGCUCCUCGACAGGGAGAGCUGAUGGUGUUGCUGCUCCUCGGCACCUUGGAGCGGUCUGCUAAUAUGAGGCGUGAGGCGAGCUGCAAGACUUCAGGCACACAAACAGCACAACAGCAAGAGCUAUACAAUAUCACAUUGAUACAUAUUCUGCACCCCGCAGGAGACAUUAUAUAUUUAAGUGGUGUAUAUCUACUAUAUAUACCUACAAGAUUACCUAUGUUUGCGACUCUACAAGUACUGGAAAAAAAUUUGAACUAGAAAUUUAUAGAUCCUGCAUCACGUGAUUCUAUUCCUAAAUGGUUCAUGGCUACACGUCCCGUUUUCAGGAUUAUUCUGUCCAUGCCUUGGCUUUCACCUAGAUGGACAAGAGUUUGUUCUUUAGUGAGACGCCCAGCUGCAAGUUGUUGUUUGACCAGUUGUGAGGUGUCUCAGAGGCACCAAAUGGAUGUUCAUAAUGUUGAUCUAUCUACAUAUCAUGUGGUACACGGCCCAGAAAGAAGCAGUACGAUGGUUGGUCCAAAACUAAGCUCAUUCUUAGCAUGGGAUCACUGCCGAGAUUUCUUUCUCUUGACAAGCAGCAUCAUUGCUUACACCAGGAGUUCUUUAGCGACGGCAAAGAGUCGAGGUGCAGCAAUACUGAUGCAUCAUGCAAUGCCAAGUGAACAAAUGGUGUCUCUCGGGAAAUUACGGGGACGGAUACGAGCACUACGUACCGUUGUCCUACUAUUAAGAAGUUAUAUUGCUGUUUCUCAUCAAGACAUUGUUUAAUAAGGAAAACCAUUUUCUUAUGAAAAAAAUCCAUGUGGCAACAUGGUUCAUCUAAUAUUAUUCUUGAAGCGAACUGAUUCAU